AGACAUGCAGGGGCCUUUGCCUCCCAAACACCCUCUAGGCAGAAAAUUCCAGGUCCUGGCUGAGCAACUUCAAGGAUUAUCUCUGCAAUCUCAUCAGGAGCCACAUCCCUCCAGCAGCCAUUUUUAUUUUUCUUAUUAUGUCAGCAGUGCUGGGGAUCCUCUGCUGCCUCACGUAAGCUUCUGGAAGAGGAGGGAAGGGAGGG
rnacentral:lncRNA from 1 species